GACCCACGCGUUCCCAUCUCGAACACGACCGUUAAGCCUUCCAGCGUCGAUGGUACUUGAACCGCAGGGUUCUGGGAGAGUAGAACGUUGCCA
rnacentral:rRNA from 1 species